UGCAUCGGCCGGGUAUCGAACCCGGGCCGCCGGCGUGGCAGGCGAGCAUUCUACCACUGAACCACCGAUGC
rnacentral:tRNA from 1 species